rnacentral:rRNA from 1 species
UACGUAGGGCGCGAGCGUUGUCCGGAAUUAUUGGGCGUAAAGAGCUCGUAGGCGGCUUGUCGCGUCGGAUGUGAAAGCCCGGGGCUUAACUCCGGGUCUGCAUUCGAUACGGGCAGGCUAGAGUUCGGUAGGGGAGAUCGGAAUUCCUGGUGUAGCGGUGAAAUGCGCAGAUAUCGGGAAGAACACCCGUGGCGAAGGCGGCUCUCUGGGACGGUACUGACGCUGAGACGCGAAAGCGUGGGGAGCGAACAGG